UGAGGCAAAUUUCCCCUCCCUUGCACAGUUUCCCUCCAGCACUCUGGCUGGGCAGCUGGGUACGUGCCAUCAGCUUGGCCGUUGCUCAAAACAUGUUCCAGUUACCACAGGGCAAAUGUGGUUGGAAAGGACAACCAUUUGCAUAGCAAGAGGAGGUGUCUUAGAGAUUCCUGUCUUUUAUUUUUCCCUGCUAAAAUCUGGCUGAGAUUGGGCUCUUCACUCACACAGAGGCCUCUGGGGGAUUUAUCAAGAUAUUUCUUUCCAGAAGAAAACCCAAAUAAUUGUUGACUUUUUUUUUUUUUUUUUUUUUUCCUGCAGUUCUCAAAAGGUACCAGGGCCAUGGGGUGGAUAAAAGCCUCUGCUAGUUUAUACAGUGGGAGUCAUUCUCCUUCUGACACUCUGAACUCUGGACUGCCCCUUGAGAGGAAGAGGAGGAAGCAAGAUACAAUAACUGUGGUUUCUGAGAAACUUUGCAAGGAAAUGAAACAAUAACAGAGCAGAAGAUCAACAAUUCCAGGUAAACAACAUGCACUAUGUUGGCUUUACGUAUAUGGGAAUUUUCAUCCUUACAUUAUUAAACUCCCAUGGCUAAUACUGCAAUUAGU
rnacentral:lncRNA from 1 species